GCCUGUCUCAGUUCGGAUUGGAGGCUGAAACCCGCCUCCAUGAAGUUGGAUUCGCUAGUAAUCGCGCAUCAGCCAUGGCGCGGUGAAUACGUUCCCGGGCCUUGUACACACCGCCCGUCAAGCCAUGGGAGCCGGGGGUGCCUGAAGUUCGUGACCGCAAGGAGCGACCUAGGGCAAAACUGGUGACUGGGGCUAAGUCGUAACAAGGUAGC
rnacentral:rRNA from 1 species